AAGCUAAUCUCUUAAAGCCGUUCUCAGUUCGGACUGGAGUCUGCAACCCGACUCCACGAAGCUGGAUUCGCUAGUAAUCGCGCAUCAGCCACGGCGCGGUGAAUACGUUCCCGGGCCUUGUACACACCGCCCGUCAAGCCAUGGGAGCCGGGGGUACCUGAAGUGCGUAACCGCGAGGAUCGCCCUAGGGUAAAACUGGUGACUGGGGCUAAGUCGUAACAAGGUAUC
rnacentral:rRNA from 1 species